rnacentral:lncRNA from 1 species
UCUGAAGCUGACUGCUGCCUUGUUCAGUGUUCUGGAGACAGAACAGGGCUGAGGCUUUCCUGUUUACAACCAGGGACAUUUCCGCCAUGGACAGAUUAGCAUGGCAGUCAGGCUCCUCUUAAACUCUUCAGUUCCACUCUGUUUUUGAUUUUAAACUUCUCUGGAUCCCAUCAGACAGUGAGGAAUAGAUGGAGUGGAUGGAUGGAGAUGAUGAGUGUCAAGAUAAGGAGCAGAGAAUCACAAAAUGGACUCUGAUGUCUUCUGAAGAACCUCACAACAGCUUCAGGAGGAUUUUCUGACAUGGAGAUGUGACAGAAAUCCAGGAGAACUGACUCGGGGGGCAGAGCCAAACAGAAAAACUGACUCCAGAUAUGGUGAGCCAUCUCAGUGUGGCCAUCACCCUCAUCACACUCAUUAAAGAAGUAACACGCACUGGUAGGGAGGAUGCCACGGUUCCACAGGAUGUUGUUGUGAAGGGGUCAGGGAUUCAUGCCGAGCACUGCAUCAUUACCAGUGUGUCAGGGGUCAUCACCCUUGACCCCUGUGGAAACCCCUGCUGCCUUGAUAGAGUCCCUGUAACCAGACCAACCCA